GCAACGGUUAUUAGACUUGUUAGUCCCGCUCCAAACUCCACUCCUUCACUGUUGCAUGCUGCUAGUGUUAUAUAAUGUUGUUGUAUUGCUUUGCUUGUCAUUACUUCUGUCUGUAUGCUGCCCAUUUUUCCACUGUUAACGAGCCCCCGACGAGCGCUCGCGAGCAGUAAACAAACCGAGCGCGAACAAGUUACGAUAAUCGUUAAGAUUAACGAGCCUAACGAGCCGAGCCUUAACGAGCCGAGCAUGCUCGUUAGCCAGGCCUAGCCGGUACCCACUGGCGAGUAGCGACUAGAGUGCCCGGCCCGAGUAACGACUAGUUUUUUUCCCUAAAAAAAACCCAAUUAAGCUAUGGAUGGAAUAUUCUCAGAAAAAUAGAAAAAAAAAAGGCUAUGGAUGGAAUGAUUCUAAGGAAAGCGAUGAGUGGAAAUCACAUAACCUGGCAAAUCACUUCAUGUCUUCAUGGUCAUAUUCCGUGACCAAGUAUUUUACUUUUAGCCACGACCCAUCUGAUUACUCGUACCAACUGGGGUGACUAUCUCAGAUUCUCAGCUACAUGUAUAUGACUUGCUUGCUUGAUGUGAACAGCAAACGGCAGCAAGAUUUUGAUGGCACCAAACGCAUAUCGGAAUGAUGCAACCCAACAGAGCACAACGCACAGCAACGUAAGCUGUUGACGACAGUUGUGGUGGCCACUGACCUCUGUGCCUCGCAAAGUCGCAAGAACCAAGAAUGGAUAUGGAAGUGGAACGCGGAAAAGUCGAAUGGCCUUUUCGUUUCUACAAAAACAAAAGCAGAUAUUUUACGUACCAAGGGAAUGCAAACCUGCCCAUUUUGGCUUUGCCUUUUCUUUUUGAGAGAGAGAUGUAUUACUGCCUUCUAGUAUGUGGUCUGUAUUGGCACAUUGGUUAAAAAAAAUGUUGUAUGUUGGCACUUCUCUUCAAAUGCUUUCUUCGUGUCUGCCCAAUGUGACUUGUCCCGUUAUACUUUUAUAACAAUGAUACGAUAAAUGGAUGGGAAAAAAAA
rnacentral:lncRNA from 1 species